UCAGAAAUCAGGAUUCGAAAUAAACCCACGUCAUCAUCAUAGGCUAGAAUAUUGCAAUUUAUUCCUUUUAAACCAUUUAUUAAAUUAUUAAUUAAUUAUUAAGUUUUCAAGAAAAUUUAUCAAUUUAGUUAUAAAUAUAUAUAUGUAUGUAUUUUUGAUAAAGGAGGAAUUUAGAUAAAAAAAUAUAUUAUCUAUAUUAAAAGAAAACUAGUUUAUGGGUAAAUAUAUAUAUAUAUAUAUUAUGAUAUUGCAGCCUAUAAGUGGGUGUGUAGUUCCACUAUACACUUACGCGUAGCAAGCAAAGCGAGACAUGAUGACGUAGUCGAUGGCUUAGCUCGACGAAUUCCAUGACGUCAGAUUUGAAUAUUGCGCGGGCCAAGGCUCAGAUUCUCAGGAUUUUGUUCGAUCUUCUCCCCAGACUCGGACUUGAGUCAUCAUUUCCCAGGCGAGUAGACAGGAUAUGUUAUGAUUACCUUAUAUUAUGCACGUAUAUACUGUUUUAUUCAUAAAUAUUAUAACCUUGUAUAAAUUUUUAUAUGCAUAACUCGUACAUGAUUUUUAUAUGCGGAUCAUAGAAAAAUACUCUUAAAUGUUUCUAAUUUGCAUGAAAUAUUUUCAUCCUACUGGGAGAGACAUAAACUGAAAGAUACCCUAAUUGAUUUCUUGUUUUGAGAAUGUGAAUUAUUGAAUGAUAUGGUGUAUUUUAGGCACCACAUGAAAUGAUAAAUGAUUGUGACUUGUGCAUAAAUUAGGGUAUUAUUUGCAUUAUUAUUAGAGGACUAUCUAGUAGAUUCCCUGGUGACUCACAGCAGGAAAAGAUCAUGGUACUGUGAGGCGUGGCAUGCCAAGGCCAUGAGAGACACGGAUAGUAUGUUUCAGCACUGCUAUCACGUGGGCCUUUAUGAUGAUAUUGUGUGAUGAUGAUGUAUGUGCCGAUAUAUAUACUUGUGUGCAUGUGUAUAUAGGCGUUAGGCCAGUUUCUACUAGUGUGUCCUCAGAAUCAGUGCAUGCAUCUCAUACAAGAGUAUAGGGGACUUGGGUGGUUAGGGAACAACUUAUGGGGGUUGUCUUUAAGCACCUAUUUUUUCCUACACUAUGUUUUCCUUUGAAAUCUCAAAUUAUUUAACUUAUGGUUUAUAAUUCCACUGUUUAUACUGUUAUUACGUUAUUAUACUCAUGAUGAUCAUCCUAGCAUUUUAUUGUAUACUCUCCUAGUGGGCAUGACAUACCUUAUACUCGCGAGUCCACAAGACUCACCUCGUUUUAUUAAAAAUAUUUUCAGGGAAUUCUCCUUUUGAUUAUUGGUCCAGCAGAUCUUCUGGUAUGAUGUCAUACCCUCUUUUGAUUUCGGAUGUAUUAUAGGAUGCUCUGUGGAGACAUACCCAUAUUGUAGAGUCUGAUGUUUUGUCUUUAUUUUUGUUGGCACAUAAUUGUGCCAAGGGCCCGAGAUACGGGAUCGGGUAUGUAUUAUUGACAGCAGUGUGAUAGAUAUUCUUAUUUUGUACAGCUGCUGUAUAUGAAAUAUUGAGAUAUUAUGUUAGAAGGUGAAUUGGUAUUUUAUUCA